CGCCGAUAUGAUGAUAACCUGUUCCGAAUUAUAUGUGUCGACUCACAUUCAGACUACAAUUAUCUGAUCGGCG